CUAAGCCCCAUUACAACCCAUUGAAAGACCCUUUGAUUCAUGCAUUAAUUUGCAUUUCGUUCGUGGUGGAGAUUUGAUUCACAAGCAAGCCUAUGGUAAUGGCAUUCUAUGUAUUGACUUGAGUGAAACCCGAAUUCUUAAACACCUUAUGUUAUGAGUGAUUACAAUGACAUCGUUGUGAGAACCCUUGUGAGAGUGUUGAGACUUGUUUCAUUUGGUUUUGAUGAAGUCAAUGGGAUACCUACUUGUUGAAUGUUGUGCUACAAGUGGUUGUUCUCAAAUUGCUAUCUCUUCUUUAACUAUUAAGUCAUAUUAGUGUAGGGGAUAUACUUGAGUGAUAUGAAAGGAAAUUUGAGAAUUGCUACUUGGAUAAUUCUUGUAUUUGGAUCAAGACAUGCUUGAGGGCAAGAAUGGUUUUUGUGUGUGGAAUCUGAUAACAUUUAUUUUAAUGCUCCUAUGCAUGCACUUUUUCGAGUGAUUGGGAAGGAUCUUAUUGCAUGGAUUGCCGAUGUUAAGUUACCCCAAUUUCAUGGGAAGGAGCGUAAGUUAUAGGGGGUCAAAUUCAGCUCUUGUGUUAUUGUGCUGGGUGUAAUUUAGUCUAAAGUUCACAGAUAGCAUGUCUUAUACUUAAUGUUGUCUAUCAUGUGCCUCUUUAUUUGUGUUACUAAUAAUUAUUUCACUAAUGGGAUCAAGAGAAGUCUUUAGGUAUCACAUACUACUUUACUCUUCUUCUUGUCCAUAUGGGUGUCAGGUUAUCAAUAUUUUUCUCAUCCAAAAUGCUGAGGGUGGAGUUAAUCUUAACUGCUUAAAUUCGCUCGCUGCCGAAAGAGUAAUUGUAAAAAUGUUGAAACUAUUGUGGUCGUCUUUAUCAAUGGAACUGGAAAUGUGCUUAUGUCAUAUGUUAAAGAAUGAUAUGUGAAAGCCGAUUGUGCUAUUUCUUAGAGUGCAUAUGUGAAAAUCUUUCAAUUGACAGCAUGGAGAGUUCAUGGCCUCUGCCAUCUGCGUUGGCUUCUGUAACUCAUAAACUGAACCUUGAAAAUUGAUUCAAAUCACCUUCAUGGCCGAGAGGUCGUUGGGUGCGCUGAGCAUGGACACACCCAGUUAUUUUUUGGGUUAAACAAAAAGCUUUCAGUUUGCCAUCAAUGCCUUUUGUAAGUACCAAUGUUUUUUGUUCCGAUUUUCAGUGUCUUCUUAUAAAGAUGAAGAUUUACAAUGUUGGAUACUUUUGAGUAUAUCAGGGUUGGAAAUUCACGAGAUUCCAUUAAAAGUCACCACCGCUUGAUUUUGGAAAGCUAUCAAUAUCUGAUGCUUCUCCGAUAAUAGUGCACGAACUGAAGAUUACGAACAUUCUUGUACGACAUGCGGAGGCAGUUAAUAGCAGACUUUUUGUGCCUAAUCCAUCUCAUGAUUUGAAAUCUAAAGAGAAAAAUGAAGAGGGAAGACGCAAAUUAAGACUGUGAAAAUGAAAGAUUGACAAAAAACUCUGAAUUAAUGGCAAAAGACGACAGAGCCAAUUCGGGUUCGGGAUCGAGACCAAUGUCCUCAUGUGGUCGUCUUUGGUUAAUGGUGGAACUGUGUGUGGCCUGGUGAGACGACAAUAGUUUCGUCGAAAAGCCUUCUCACAGAGGCCACCUCAAGUAAGGCAAGUGGGUUUGGCCCAUCAGCUUCUUGCCCAUCGUCGGAAGCCUAGCAGCCGCCAGUGUCUUAGCUACUGCUUCUGACUCCUACAGUGGCUUCUUCGAAGCAGCCGCUGCAAGAGAAUUGCGAAGGAUCCCAAGCGGGACAAACUGUUUGAGCACCGUUAUUGAGAAAUCAAGCGAAUAUAUGUGAAUAUCUUGAUAUGUUUAAAGCAAAUUCAGCUGCUGAGGAAUCCAGAGUUCGCUCUGAGAAACUGUUCUCCAGACCAGUUAGAAUUUCUCUCUGAAGCACCUCUAUAUUUGGAGAUUAAGCAAUCCCUGGGUUUUCUUGACCAUUUAAUGUUGGGAACCCCUGCUUCUCCUGUGAGAAAAAUCCUGCUGGAGAGUGGUCUGGGCGAUGUUCUUGUUGGUUGCGGGGGUUGAAGUGGGCUCCUCCAGCCUCAGUUUAGUAUUGGACUAUAAUUUUGUAACCUUACCCCUACUCUUGGAGUAUAAUUGUUGAAACUUCAGCCAGUCAUUGCUGGAGAUGGGUACUAAAGAUUUGGAUUUUGUACAACUGAACCAAUUAAGGAAAAGCUGGUGGGAUAUCACUAUAUUCUUUCACACCAUCAGUUCGAGGGAAGGAGGAGCCCUGCAGCCAUAUAAUUGUUCGAGGGUGAGGCAAAGCUAUGUCAGGACGUGUUGAAGAUUUAUUUACCCUGGUUAAGAGGCAAGUGGACAUAGCAUUGCACUGCAAGGAUGGAUGCAAAGCUCAGUGUUGCUUGUUGGAUCUCUGAACAAAUGUCAAGGAACUGAAGACGAAGAAGAUUCUUGUACGAGAUGUGGAGACAUCUACUAGCUCAUACCAUACAUUUGAUGUGUUGCGACCUUUUGUGGACUACGUUGUUGAGUUGCAGUUGCUAAGACCAACCUAAUCCAUCUGAUGACAACCUAAUCCAUGACAACCUAAUCCAUCUGAUGAUUUGAAAUCUAAAGAGAAAAAUGAAGAGAGAAGAUGCAACAUUAAAGCUGACAAAGAAUUGAAGCUUUUCGUGGAAAUGUAUUGGCACCAAAUGGUGGAUUCAAGGUUAGCAUUUUUUAUUUGUGGCAAGAUUUUGGCUAUUUUUUAUACUUAUCUUGAGUAGUAGUUCCUCAAUGAUUGUUAUGAUUACAAUGCAGCUCAUUUGAUUAGAUUAUAUACUUUAUUUUCUCGAUGUGUUGGUUGCUCUCAGAAUAGGGAACAAAGUUGAAUAACCAUGUACCAAUAAAAAACGUUAAAGUCAUUUUUUUAAGAGGAACGUUUGAGUUGCAUAGUUGUUAAGAUAGGUAAAUUGGA